rnacentral:lncRNA from 1 species
UCUUUGGAACUCUGUAUGAUCAUUAACAAAGAAUCAGAACAUAUAUUCCAUUGUAGUAAAUAUAAGAAGAAAUUUGUAUGGUGCUCAAAAUAUUUGGUAAUGCAAUAUUUAAAUAAUAUUCCUAGACAAUCAACCUUUCAAGAGAGAGAAAUAAGGAUUAAUUUGUAACUUGAAUAGAGAAUGUGACCAGAUUUGAAAAUUAGACCACACAAACAUGAAAUACUAUUUCAGAGCAAAAAAGAGGCCAAGAAAGUAAUUUAAGAAUCAGAUCACAUUUCGAAUUGACAUAGUAGUUAGGAUAAAGUAAAAAUUUGGAAUCUAGAAAACCAAAAGAACAAAUAUAAAAAAUGAAGACUCGCAGCUGAGUCAAUUAUGGCUCAACUCUACCUACAUGGGUUCGGCUAUAUCCAUUUCCUCUAUAUUUCAUUUGAAAAAAUUCUGUCUUUUAAUUAAGGCAAAUUAGGGUUAUCUAGGAAAUAUCAACUCCAGAUCUCUCCUUUCUUAAAAAGAAUAAAAAAGAGAAAUUGAAAGAGGACCAGAAAGAAAGAAACCUUCUUGCGAUAAUCUUGCUGCAUCUUCAAUACUUGUUAAACAAUCCGGGGAAACCAAUAAAUUCAAAAAGAGGAUAUCUUGAGGGUACUAAACAAAAGAUGAGAUCAAAAAAACCAAAUCCCAAAAUAUUAGAGAAUAAAUGAGAACUUAGCCGCAGUUGCCCCAGCGACACCAACUACGGAUAACCAAACGGCAGUCCCUCGUUAUUCUCUCCCAAAUCAGCACCAACUUACUCAUCCACUUCUCAAUUAACCCAACUUUGAUUCUCUUCUUACACUAACACAUACACAAAAUUAAAGACUGUCAGUUGAAUCCUACAAAAGUUGAAAGGAAGAACUGUAACGCUUUUCGGGGCAAAGAAGGAGGCCCAAUUGAAGAGAAGGAAGGAAGAAAGGAGAGGAACAACGGGGGAGCUUUGGGGUCUUUUUAAAGGCAAGGAAAGGCUUUGCCUUUGCGUGUUUCUGUGGUUGUGUUUUCC